rnacentral:rRNA from 1 species
UACAGGGGGGGCAAGCGUUGUUCGGAAUUACUGGGCGUAAAGGGUUCGUAGGUGGCCAACUAAGUCAGACGUGAAAUCCCUCAGCUUAACUGGGGAACUGCGUCUGAUACUGGAUGGCUUGAGUGUAGGAGAGGAAUGCGGAAUUCCAGGUGUAGCGGUGAAAUGCGUAGAUAUCCGGAGGAACACCGGUGGCGAAGGCGGCUUCCUGGACCGACACUGACGCUGAGGCGCGAAAGCCAGGGGAGCAAACGGG